AGUGAACGCUGGCGGUAGGCCUAACACAUGCAAGUCGAACGGCAGCACAGUAAGAGCUUGCUCUUACGGGUGGCGAGUGGCGGACGGGUGAGGAAUACAUCGGAAUCUACUUUUUCGUGGGGGAUAACGUAGGGAAACUUACGCUAAUACCGCAUACGCCCUACGGGUGAAAGCAGGGGAUCUUCGGACCUUGCGCGAUUGAAUGAGCCGAUGUCGGAUUAGCUAGUUGGCGGGGUAAAGGCCCACCAAGGCGACGAUCCGUAGCUGGUCUGAGAGGAUGAUCAGCCACACUGGAACUGAGACACGGUCCAGACUCCUACGGGAGGCAGCAGUGGGGAAUAUUGGACAAUGGGCGCAAGCCUGAUCCAGCCAUACCGCGUGGGUGAAGAAGGCCUUCGGGUUGUAAAGCCCUUUUGUUGGGAAAGAAAGGCAGCAGGUUAAUACCCCGCUGUUCUGACGGUACCCAAAGAAUAAGCACCGGCUAACUUCGUG
rnacentral:rRNA from 1 species